AUAUGCAACAAUUUUGUCGAAGACAGUUUUUGUCUAAAACAUAAAUAUCCCCCACAAAGUUGUUUUUUAACUAAGUUGCAUUAGAGUAACCAUGAAAAAACGUUUUUUUACUCUAACUUUUAUAUUUAAAAUUCCACAUCAAAAUUGUCUUCGUACGACUUUUAGAGCUUAUCAGUACCAACAUUUUGCGAGGCAGAAUUUGGCAAUAUCUUAAUUCUGCUCAAAGUUAUUGAUGGGUUUUCACCCAAAAACUCAUGAUUUCAAUUUUAAUUUACUCAAAUAGAAAAAAACAACAUAUCAUUGAAGCCGAAAUCAUCUGUCCCCGUCGACUAUUUAUAGCUCCUCCAAUUUUAUUGAGUGAAUGGAACCGCGAAAAAAACAAACAAUCACACAUUAUUGGAUGUAACUGCUUUGUUCUCUACAAGGAAACUAUAUUCAGAUAAGGAAGCAACUUUACUAUGAUUUCUGAAAAUUUCAUCAUAAAAUUUUUCAAAUUCCAGAUCAAAUUUCAGUAAUUACGACUGGCACGGAUCUUUGUUCCACCUUUCUAUCUAAUUAAUUAUAAUUCCUUUAAUAAUUGUCCAUUCAUCAAACAAAAUGUUUUCGUCUCUCUCAACAGGUAGGUAUUUACUAAUGCUACUUUGAAACAGUUUUAGUUUUUUUUUAGUUUAAGAAAAGUUUGCACUUCAUUAAUCGAAAACAUUUCUUCCCUUUUAUGUUGCAGAAUUCUAAUAAAAUAAUCAUAAUUAACAGCAAUUUCAGCAACAUUGUCUAAACAAAGCUAAGUUAUGUUUGAAAAGACACUGAUCUGUGGUGAAAAGUAACCGUAGUUUGAGACCCUGGUUUCCAAAUUAAUCUAGUAGUACAACAAGACUUUCUUCUUUUCAUUCACAAGGAUAAUUGGUCAAAAAUACUAAGAAUCCUUUCGAUAGAAACUCCAAGAGAAUGGAAUAGUGCGUUACCAUCGCAAAAACAUUUCAAUUAGAAUUCGUUAGAAGUUAGAAUUCGGAAUCACUGUUUAUUUUAUAGUAACGAUCGGAGUAGAUGUAUUUCAAAUUUUUUGACAGCUAAUUGUUUGGAAAAUCUGUAUCUUUCGACGGUUAAAAUUUCAGUUGAUCCGUUUUGUUUUGAAAAGGUUGUGCAGGAUGGAUGCCGAGAUCAGAUGCUAAAAUCGCGUAAUCGCUGACAGUGGCUAAAUCGACAGUGUAUGAUGUGCUGAAACGUUGUCGUAAACGUGCAACUGUUGGACGCGUCAUAGUGGAACAUACGAUCGGUUGAAGGUAUUGAAAUAAAUACAAAUCUGCACGCAAAACCGGGACUUUCGGACUACGACUUCGCCACAAACACAAAUCUAAUCAAAAUACUAUCCAGAGAAUCCAUAUGUGAGAAGGUUAUCGUAACUUUUGUGCCUGCAAGCAACCAAACAGCACGCUGAAGCAUAAUCUAGUGUCCGAAAGACGCUCUCGAAAAUUGUACAACAGUAUUUUGACGGAGUCCGAAGGAUGCAUGCUAAUGGAUGACAAAACGUACGUGAAGAUGGAUUUUGGACAGCUCCCAGGCCCAAAAUUCUAUAAGACCACUGCUAGAAGAGACGCUCCCACAAAAUUUAAGUGUGGACAGAAAACCUAGGUUCUCGUCACAAACAUGACAAUGGACGCGAAAAUGUGUAGGAGAGAGUGCUUGCAGAAUCGUCCGGUGAAGUUUUGGCCAGAUAUGGCAAGCUGCCACCUCAUUCGAGAGGUGCUUCCGUGACACCGUGACAAUGGGAUCGAUUACAUUGAAAAAGAUCUCAAUCCUCGCAAUUCCGCGCUAUCGAAAAAUAUUGGCCAAUUGUCAAGCGGAAUUGAAGAAGGGCACCAAAGUGACUCGGGAUGCUGCAGAAAUGAAGAGAUCUUGGAAUAAAAUGGCCGCUGAGGAUGGCCAACAGGCAGCCAAACUUUGAUGGAGGUAUCCGAAGAAAAGAAAAAUGAUUCCGACCAGUACGACACCCAUGUCCAAAUUUAAUACGACCGCAAAGGGUUAAACAAUUAGCACACAAAACUGUUUAUUCUUAGCUAUUUCUACUGUCAGAAAGGCCAACGAUUUUCAUGCCUCGGGAAAUCAAAAUCGGACGACUCGUCGAAGGUCUGACAUCAAGCAAGAGUUGAAUUCAGUAAAAACAUCUAUAACAUCCACGGAAUCAUUCCAGUUUGCUAAUGGGACGAAACAUGACUAUCCCGAGAGGGAUAUUCCGUCAAAGGAAAUCGGGAGCAGCACCGUCAGCAUCUCUAAUGUAAAACCCAAUGAGAGCCGGUUUUGAUAGCUUAGUUCAAGCACUACUGCAGGAGAUAUCGGAGAGCUACAGAGAGCUUCAGGAAGCUAAAAUUCGAAUGACCGAACCACAAUUUACCCUAGGUUUUGAUUAGGAAGAAAAUCUAAAUAGAUUAUCUUUACGCUCACUGAUGCCUCUGAUGCACUAGUCAGUCCAGACUACCUUAUCAUAUACGUACCUUGGUAGCUAGGAUUCUUUUCAGCAGCUAGCAUCAAAACUCAGUUUGAUGGAUGUUCUGGAUUCGAUUUUUGAGAAUAGAUGUCACAAGUUAUACUGGGAUCGUGAGAUCAUUGUGGAUGAUAUUCUGAGCAGGUUCUUGAAUCAUCUCAAACAAAAAAAAACGAUUGCGAAGAAACUUUCUUCUUCUUAUUUUGUCUUUAAGAGGCUUGAAACAUCUCAGUUCAUUCGCCUCUAUACCGAAGAAACUAAGAAACUUUAUUAAUAUAGAUGAAGGAAUAAAAACAAGCCCAGGAGUGUAAAGUUCAAAGUUUCCAGCUUAAAGCUGAGAGCUGCAAAAACUCUAAAAUAGUAAUAGUAAUAAUAGUUCACUAGAGCGUCAUAAUAAUGUAAAAUUCGAAUAUUUAUAAUACUGGGUACCAAAAAUCAAAAAUUGGUUGACAUGAGGGAUGUCAUCGUUAAACAGUGCAACCAACCUUGUUCUCAAUUUAAAAACUGUAACACUCAACUGGUUUAUUAUUCGUAACUCAAUCACUAAUAAGGCACUAUUCGUCUUACGGUAUCUAUCUACUAUAUGAGAAUUAUCGGCAUUUAUAACACGUGAUAAAGGGUAGAAUAGCCUGGCAAACCGUCACAACACAUUCGCUUCUACACAACAUCGUUCGACCUCUUACGCGGGUAGCCUGUUUUCUCUAGGAAUGUUUCAAAAGCGCGGGUACAGUUACAUAUCAUGCAGAUACAUUCAAUAGUAGGUUUCUAGUUCGAUUAAAGUAAGUAGAUUGAAUGAUUAUCUAAAAUAGACGAUUCGCAACGUGGGCCAAUGUAAUCUUUCGAAAAUAUAAAAAAAUCUCGCGUAUUUUUUUUCUUCAAUCGAAAACCAAUUAUCCAUAGAAUUAAUAUAAAAAUACGAUAACUAUUAGGGGAUCACAAUUGAUAUAUCAUGUAGGUUUAAAUAUACAUAUGUUUUUUUUUCUCUAAAUAUACUUUAUGAUGUUUUAGUGCGUCAUUUCAAUUAUAAAUAAGUGUUUGUAUUUUCUAAAUAUAUAUCAUCGUUUGUAAACAAACCAAUAUAAAACAAUUUUACAGCACCUUUAUGUUUAUCGGAAAUGUUCAACAUUUUAUUUAUAUGUAUAUACGAGUACAACCUACCAUAAGAAUAUAAUAUCAUUGUUUUCGUGUAUUCUGUUGCUUGUGCUUGCGUUAAUAGUGAACAUCAGAAUAACAUCGCAUCAUCAUCUAGUGUUUCAAAAGUUGGCCUGUUGGUUUAUGCUACUCACCCACAUUCAUGCUCCCGGAGCGUGGCCAAUCUACGCCUGGCCUUGAUUCGUCAUUUCUGUUGAUGGUUUUGGCGACGCUUGAGAAGCGUCAUGCUGGGAUCGCUCAGCGAGUACGUUUCCGGCUCAAAGACCGGGGGAUAUUCCAUAUUGGGGUAGUCCGGUGAAGUUCGAUUCAAAACGUUGCUGGUCAGUACCGAUGUUGUUGUUGCGGUGGAUUGAAUGUUUCCGAUUGUGAUUGUACUGGUGAGGGUUGAGUUUGACUGAAUUGUGCUUUCCGCGGAGAAGGUACUCUGCGAUAAAAAAAAUUCAUCAUGAUUCCACACACUUUCAUAUAUAAUAUAGUAUAGUGAAGGUCCGCCUCAUCCCCCUAUAUAGGCUCGAGUUGGUCGAUUAUUUAAGAAAACAGUGUAACAAAAAAACGAACUGAUCUACAGAUAUAAAAUAACUUCU